GAUGAACGCUGGCGGCGUGCCUAACACAUGCAAGUCGAGCGAGAUGCUCCUGAUGGAUUCUUCGGAUGACAGAUGGAGCGGAAAGCGGCGGACGGGUGAGUAACGCGUAGGCAACCUGCCCUUUGCAGAGGGAUAGCCUCGGGAAACCGGGAUUAAAACCUCAUAAUGCCGUGAAGAGACAUCUCUUUAUGGCCAAAGAUUUAUCGGCAAAGGAUGGGCCUGCGUCUGAUUAGUUAGUUGGUGGGUAACGGCCUACCAAGGCGACGAUCAGUAGCCGACCUGAGAGGGUGAUCGGCCACAUUGGAACUGAGACACGGUCCAA
rnacentral:rRNA from 1 species